UACGUAGGGGGCUAGCGUUGUCCGGAAUCAUUGGGCGUAAAGCGCGUGUAGGCGGUCCGGUAAGUCAGCUGUGAAAGUCGGGGGCUCAACCCUCGGAUGCCGGUGGAUACUGUCGGGCUUGAGUACGGAAGAGGCGAGUGGAAUUCCUGGUGUAGCGGUGAGAUGCGCAGAUAUCAGGAGGAACACCAAUUGCGAAGGCGGGUCUCUGGGCCGAUACUGACGCUGAGGAGCGAAAGCGUGGGGAGCGAACAGG
rnacentral:rRNA from 1 species